CUGUCCUCUGUCUAAUAGAAUAAUUGUUUUUGGGUUUGUUAAAAACACCGGAGAGUAGAGAGGUAAGCUAAAAACAUUUGAAAAUGUAUAGUGAGCAGUGGGGAGUAGGAGUGAUUAUAUAAAUAGGAAAUGAAGAUGAUAGAUGAUACUAGUAUGAUUAGCUGUAAACUGAGAUUAAAAACGAAAAGCCUGCUACUUUUUUGGUAAAGUUAGGGGAUGGUCACCGAUGGAAUGAUGGGGUUUUGGGAAAGCUGAAGCUGCCCACCCAUACCGGAACUGCUAGAUCUACAUAUUGGUAUGCUUUCAUUCACAAAAUUAUUUUUGUAACGCCUUGUUUCUGUUUUCAUGUUGAAAAGGAAUCUUUCAAAGGGAGCUUUUCCUUUUUCUUCUUCCGUGGCAUGUUAUGUUCAUCUUGCUGGUGCGUUGGUGUGCGCGGUUUUCUUUUUAAUUUGCGUCAUCUUUAGGGUCGGAUUUUGCUAUUCAGGCUCGGGAUCCCUUUGAAUUUAUGGGCUUCUCUUCCUCUCUUUAUGUGUAUUUUGAUUCUCCAUUCUCAUGGUUUGUUUUACCUAGUCAGUCAAUCACAUUAGUUGUUACUAUUGUACCAUUUAGGUAUUGUGACCUUUUGCGAAUAGUUUUGUGCUUGGGUUUUUACGGGUGUUUCUCUGUUUGAUCUUUGUGUACAUUUCAUGUGCUUCUGGUUGUAUGAAGAGAUGUAUUUCGAACUGUGGACUAUCAUUUGGUUGAAAUUUCAUAUAUGUUUCGCGAGUCUGAGGUGACAUGCGCC
rnacentral:lncRNA from 1 species